rnacentral:lncRNA from 1 species
AAAUAAUUACCAUGUGUAGCGAAUUUUUUAAAAAGCAAAAUCAGUGCUUCUUAUUAAGAUGGUGCUUUGAGCUGUAAGAAUGCUAUUUUCAGAUUCCCUCAUGCCUCUGCUGCACAUUGCAUUGUGAAUUUGGCUUCAAGCAGACCAAGUCUUUUAGUCACAAGAGGGCACAACUACAGAAAUGGGUUAGACCGUGUUUUUCUUCUUCCUGUGACUGCAGAGAUGAAGGGAAUGAAGACUUCUGACACCAGCUUGCUUGAUGGACUCUGCUCUUCAGCAUCUUCCAAUAUCAGCUCUGCUACUUGCCUACUGGCUUGAUGUUCAAACACAUUCUAAGAUUGGCACUAACUUCUGGUACUUGUACAGUGUAUGCUCAACUUCAGGUUUGCCCAACUUCAAGCACAAGAAGGAAGACAGGAAGAGACCCACUGACUCUCACGUUGUUGUCCUUGCCUGGAUAAGGAAGCAGAGAAACGUAAAGGAAUACAUUCACAAACACACGUACACAAAGACAGAGAGGUGGAGGAUUCUUGUUACGCUCCUGUGAAGCAGUUUGGUAGAAGAAUCCUGAUUGCAAUAGCAUCCGAGAGGGAAAGCACCCAUCUGUCUGAUGCAGCUGCUGCAGUUCUAGAGUUGGUAAGUGAGGCAGGCGUCAGAGGGGUGGGGCAACACCCAGCUUUUGUAGGUGUUCCUGCUCCUUGAUUUGGGUCUGUGAUACCUCUGCAGCAUAGGUAGUCUGCUUCCACUCAAGAAGGGUCACCUUUUCACCUAUACUCCUUGUCCACUGCCUUGAUUUCUGCCUGCUUUUUGCUAGAUCUGCCUCAUUGGAGAUGAUAUGAAUGGAAGUUUGAAGCAUCUCUUCUCAUUUCCAAGCCCAGCCACUCCAUCCCUCAACCUUGCAUAUGUCUUUC